rnacentral:rRNA from 1 species
UACGUAGGGUGCGAGCGUUAAUCGGAAUUACUGGGCGUAAAGCGUGCGCAGGCGGUUUUGUAAGCCAGAUGUGAAAUCCCCGGGCUUAACCUGGGAAUGGCAUUUGGGACUGCAAGGCUGGAGUUUGGCAGAGGAGACUGGAAUUCCUGGUGUAGCAGUGAAAUGCGUAGAUAUCAGGAGGAAUACCGAUGGCGAAGGCAGGUCUCUGGGCUAUAACUGACGCUCAUGCACGAAAGCGUGGGGAGCAAACAGG